rnacentral:rRNA from 1 species
UACGGAGGGUGCUAGCGUUGUUCGGAAUCACUGGGCGUAAAGCGCGUGUAGGCGGCCCAUUAAGUCUGAUGUGAAAGCCCGGGGCUCACCCCCGGAAGUGCAUUGGAAACUGAUGGGCUGGAGUCCCGGAGAGGAGGGUGGAAUUCCUGGUGUAGCGGUGAAAUGCGUAGAUAUCAGGAGGAACACCGGUGGCGAAGGCGGCCCUCUGGACGGUGACUGACGCUGAGGAGCGAAAGCGUGGGGAGCGAACAGG